rfam:Gossypium hirsutum cultivar TM-1 chromosome 4, whole genome shotgun sequence
UGUUAAAAUUUUUAUUUAUUUAUACUAUUAAAAACUGAUAUGAUUAAUAGAAUAAUCAAACUAUCACAAUUAUCAUGUCAUGUGUAUCUCAUACUGAUAUAUAUGAAAAAGUUUUUAACAGUAGAAGUGAUUGAAGUUUAUAACA